UUAAAAGGGAAGUCCAGGAACAUUCUGUCCCUCCUAGAGAGGGUCAUUUUGGGAGGUAUGGUACAGCAUAUCCAUGCUUGGCCACAGGUUUAUUAUUUAUUGUUGGACGCACCCCCGAUGAUAGAUGACUACUAUGUCGAAAUACUAAUACCAGAAAAAAAGAAGAGAAUCAGAAGGCUUAGCGUGGAACUUACACAUCUUUUAUGUCAUAACAAAAGCCAAAAUGUGGUGUGGUCAUUGUGAACUUUUGCAAGGUGGCUUUUAUUUUGAAAAAUGUAUUCAAUUCUGUUUUCAUCUGUGUUGGUUUCUUGUCGAAAUGCUGUGAUUAUUUCUUUUGUGUUACAAGUCCUGGCUGAACCUAUUCAUCAUACUGUAGCUGUACUGAAGGGACUGAUAAUAUGUUUACCUUGGACAGAAUUCAUAGAUUUUUAUUACAAUACUUACUGAUGUUAUUUCCAUUUUUUUAGUGCUAACAUAUUCAUUGUUCAGAAAGUAGUUAUCUAUUGUUUGUAACACAGUGAAAAUUGACACAACACCGAGAGUGUGGGUGAAAAUAUGUUCUGUGUCUGCACAUGGACAUUUAUUCCAAAUGUAAAACUGUA